GAUGAACGCUAGCGGCAGGCUUAAUACAUGCAAGUCGUACGGGAUCCGAGGUAGCAAUACUUUGGUGAGAGUGGCGCACGGGUGCGUAACACGUAUGCAACCUACCUAUAACCGGGACACAACCUCGAGAAAUUGUGGCUAAUAUCCCAUAACACUGCGAAAUGGCACCAUUUUGCAGUUAAAACUCCGGUGGUUAUAGAUGGGCAUGCGCGACAUUAGCUAGUUGGUGAGGUAACGGCCCACCAAGGCUACGAUGUCUAGGGGUUCUGAGAGGAUUAUCCCCCACACUGGUACUGAGACACGGACCAGACUCCUACGGGAGGCAGCAGUAAGGAGUAUUGGUCAAUGGGCGCAAGCCUGAACCAGCCAUGCCGCGUGAAGGAUGACGGCCCUAUGGGUUGUAAACUUCUUUUGUACGGGAAAAAACCACCGGUCGUGUAUCGGUGCUGAUGGUACCGUAAGAAUAAGCAUCGGCUAACUCCGUGCCAGCCGCCGCCGUAA
rnacentral:rRNA from 1 species